rnacentral:tRNA from 1 species
UCCAGGGUAGCCUAGUGGACAUGGCAUCUUCCCGGUAAGAGGAACACUGUGAGUUCGAUUCCCACCCCUGGUC